GAGACACCCCUAUGGAGCAGGACUUGCUUCAAUGGGGCUUUGGUACUUAUUGAGUCUGCCCCUUGGAUGUGUCACU
rnacentral:pre_miRNA from 1 species